UACGUAGGGUGCAAGCGUUUAAUCGGAAUUACUGGGCGUAAAGCGUGCGCAGGCGGUUUGGUAAGACAGAUGUGAAAUCCCCGGGCUCAACCUGGGAAUUGCAUUUGUGACUGCCCGACUAGAGUGUGUCAGAGGGGGGUAGAAUUCCACGGUGUAGCAGUGAAAUGCGUAGAGAUGUGGAGGAAUACCGAUGGCGAAGGCAGCCCCCUGGGAUAACACUGACGCUCAUGCACGAAAGCGUGGGGAGCAAACAGG
rnacentral:rRNA from 1 species